AUUGAACGCUGGCGGCAGGCCUAACACAUGCAAGUCGAACGGUAACAGGAAACAGCUUGCUGUUUCGCUGACGAGUGGCGGACGGGUGAGUAAUGUCUGGGAAACUGCCUGAUGGAGGGGGAUAACUACUGGAAACGGUAGCUAAUACCGCAUAACGUCGCAAGACCAAAGAGGGGGACCCUCGGGCCUCUUGCCAUCGGAUGUGCCCAGAUGGGAUUAGCUUGUUGGUGGGGUAACGGCUCACCAAGGCGACGAUCCCUAGCUGGUCUGAGAGGAUGACCAGCCACACUGGAACUGAGACACGGUCCAGACUCCUACGGGAGGCAGCAGUGGGGAAUAUUGCACAAUGGGCGCAAGCCUGAUGCAGCCAUGCCGCGUGUAUGAAGAAGGCCUUCGGGUUGUAAAGUACUUUCAGCGGGGAGGAAGGGAGUAAAGUUAAUACCUUUGCUCAUUGACGUUACCCGCAGAAGAAGCACCGGCUAACUUCGUG
rnacentral:rRNA from 1 species